rnacentral:rRNA from 1 species
GACGAACGCUGGCGGCGUGCUUAACACAUGCGAGUCGAACGGAAAGGCCCUGCUUUUGUGGGGUGCUCGAGUGGCGAACGUGUGAGUAACACGUGAGUAACCUGCCCUUGACUUUGGGAUAACUUCAGGAAACUGGGGCUAAUACCGGAUAGGAGCUCCUGCUGCAUGGUGGGGGUUGGAAAGUUUCGGCGGUUGGGGAUGGACUCGCGGCUUAUCAGCUUGUUGGUGGGGUAGUGGCUUACCAAGGCUUUGACGGGUAGCCGGCCUGAGAGGGUGACCGGCCACAUUGGGACUGAGAUACGGCCCAGACUCCUACGGGAGGCAGCAGUGGGGAAUAUUGCACAAUGGGCGGAAGCCUGAUGCAGCAACGCCGCGUGCGGGAUGACGGCCUUCGGGUUGUAAACCGCUUUCGCCUGUGACGAAGCGUGAGUGACGGUAAUGGGUAAAGAAGCACCGGCUAACUACGUG